AUUGAACGCUGGCGGCAGGCUUAACACAUGCAAGUCGAGCGGGGAAGGGUAGCUUGCUACCUAACCUAGCGGCGGACGGGUGAGUAAUGCUUAGGAAUCUGCCAUUUAGUGGGGGACAACAUUCCGAAAGGAAUGCUAAUACCGCAUACGUCCUACGGGAGAAAGCAGGGGAUCUUCGGACCUUGCGCUAAAUGAUGAGCCUAAGUCGGAUUAGCUAGUUGGUGGGGUAAAGGCCUACCAAGGCGACGAUCUGUAGCGGGUCUGAGAGGAUGAUCCGCCACACUGGGACUGAGACACGGCCCAGACGCCUACGGGAGGCAGCAGUGGGGAAUAUUGGACAAUGGGCGGAAGCCUGAUCCAGCCAUGCCGCGUGUGUGAAGAAGGCCUUAUGGUUGUAAAGCACUUUAAGCGAGGAGGAGGCUACUUAGAUUAAUACUCUAGGAUAGUGGACGUUACUCGCAGAAUAAGCACCGGCUAACUCUGUGCCAGCCGCCGCAGUAAUAC
rnacentral:rRNA from 1 species